rnacentral:tRNA from 1 species
GCUGGAAUAGCUUAGUUGGGAGGAUGUUAGACUGGAGAUCUAAAGGUCCUUGGUUCCAUCCUGAGUUUUGGCA